CCUCACCCACCCACCCCUCACGGCGCCGCACCGCACCUCCUCCCACCGUCCCACUCACCACCUCCCCGCCCGCCGCCGCCGCCGCCGCCCCAGCCCACUCCCCUUCCCCGCCGCAUACGGGGCGCUGCACCUUAGCCCCUCCCACCGUCCCUCCCAUGGCCGCGCUCCUAUGGCCUUCGUCCCCGACCCUGCUCCCGCCCCUGCUGCUCCUAUGCCUGGGUAGCGCCAGCCGGCCGCCUCCGCCCUAUGCCCUCGUCGCCGUGGCCUGCGCAAAUCGUCUCCGCCGGCAGGCCCUCCUCCGCGCCCCCCGUGCAGACCGACGCCGCCUCCUCCUCCUACAGAUGGCCGCCGCGUUGUCCAACCAUUAGACGCCGGCAAGCUUCUAUUUUGGGGUCAAGAUGAUCAGCGCCACUAGCUUUUCUACCUGUGUGCCUGAAUACGAUGUUCCUGCUGUUGACGAAGCAGUGGAUACAUCAUGGAAGAGGGAACUGCCUUGGAAGGCACCUUUCCCAUCCACAGCGCUGCUUCAGUCAACUAAAGAUGUUGCCACAAAGAGAGUGUCACACAUACUGCAAAAGUUAAUAUGGUUGGUUCUGACAAGCAUCUUGUGAAGCACUUGCAAGUGUAAAUUGCUAGGCUAGAAGCAGAGAACUAAGGACCGCCUGCCAUGCCUCCUCUUCCGAGAUCCGCAUAAUUGAGAAGGACAGGAAAAUUAGACAGCCCUAGGUGGGAACUACGUGCAGUUUGGUGUGUUUGAGCUUUAUGGUGACAGAGCACUUGUGGAUGCGCUUGAUAUAUCUUUAAAGACGACCCUGUCAAUUCCAUUGUCUGGUAUAGACAUUUAAAAAGGUAUUCAGUUAUUCAUGUCAUCUUUUGAAUUUUGUUUACAAUUGUUUUGCUGUUGUAUGUAUUCUUGUUAGCUUGUUUGCUUCUGAAAACAUAUUUGUUAAGUUUUAAAGCACUGGAGGAGCAAAUGGUUCUGUCUUGUCACAUAGAACGCGGGUAUGAACAAUGGGCAUGUAUCCUUAGCAUAGCAACAUCUGUAGUCUGAUUGUGAAUACAUUAGAAUGCACACUGGAAGCUGUGAAUACCUUUUGCGGGUGUCAUCGACACUUUGAACAACGUUUGCUUGAUAAUUAACCUUUUUUUACUCCUAAUAAAAUGGUCCCUGGAGCUUUCCUGGACGUCAUGUAGGUUCAGUGGGCAGCCACGGAUCCGACCAAAUCUUGAUGUUCUCCCCUGAACCCACCCUCUAAAUGUAUCCUUCCUUAACUAUCUCCAGCCCCCUUAGAAUGCUUGUCCAAGUGUAACUCAUGUUGGCCACAUGUUGUUUUUUUUUCGAAAAGGGGGAUUCCCCGGCCUCUGCAUCAGAACGAUGCAUACGACCACAUUUAUAAAUAAAAUAGGUUCAACAAGGUCUUAAAGUCUGGAAACAAAAUAAAGGCUAGCUCACAGAGAGCCUCAACGCCAAAGAUAAAAAGGCCAUAGAGCCACAACCGGCUGGCAAAACAAAGAUAGGAAAACUAAUCACCUAUCCUAUUACAUGACCGCCAUCCAAACCGGUUGAAGAUAUCCCGCGCUACCAUCUCCCACCCAACGAUUACGAGUCGAACGACUAGUCUAGACUAGUCGCUCGACUAGUCUAUGAGUCGCAAACUGGCUGUCGACUCGGUUUCUCGUGUAGACUACUUGUACGAGUCGAGCCUGUCAUCGACUAGUCGACGACUAGUCCAGACUAGUCGACAUGUUCGAGUCCAACGACUCAAAAAACUGGGGGAGUAUAAAAAUACGAUGCCUCAUCCCGCGGGAGACCUAAUCCUUUCUUUCCCCUCCUCACCUGGACGCGCCGCCGGCUGCUGGACGCGCCCGUCGAGCCCUCCUCGCGCCGCCGGCCGCUGGACGCCCGCCGCCGCGGAUCUGAAGCUCCACCGUCGCCGGCCCCACGUCGCGGAUCUGAAGCUCCACCAUCGCCUUCGUCUCGCGCCCCUCCUGCUCCUUCGUCUCGCGCCCCUCCUCGCGCCGCCGGCCCCUCGUGCUCUUCUCCUCUUCAGGCAGGUGAGCCUCAGUGCUGCUCUGCCUCGCUGCUGGACUGCUGGUGCUGCUCUGCCUUGCCCCUCCUUUCUCCUCCUCUUUCUUCUUGGCUUGCCGCUGCUGUUGCUCUGCUCCGCUGCUGGACUGCUGGUGCUGCUCUGCUUGCUGUUGGUGCUGCUCUGCUCGCAGAUAGACUGCUGGUGCUGCUGUGCUUGCUGCUAGUUGCUGGUGCUGCUCUGCCUCAGUGACUCCACUUUGCUUGUUUAAAUUGUAUACUGUACUUGUAUACUUAUAUAGUGUAAUACUACAUACUACUACUAGGUAUUAUUAGUUAUGUACUGUAAGUUCGGUGCUACAGUACCAUGUCGACUAGUCUCGCACUAGUCUAGACUAGUCUAUGAGUCUCAACCUUGGAACGACUCGUCGACUCUCCGACUCGUAAACGUUGCUCCCACCGGACAGAUCCAGUAGCCAAACGCUCCCUGGCCUCCGUCGCAGUGAGUAAGGACCACAUACGGAUCAACGUCGUAGCUCAGAAUAAAACCUGCAAAAAAUGAAUAGUUGUUGUUCUGUUAAAAGCCAAAUCAUUUCUGCAGUUCCAAAUUGCCCAUAACAACGCACAUACUCCUACACGAAUGUGUCUAGCUGUAUCGGACUCUAUCCCAUCAAGCCACGUUCCAAAUAACGUACCGACCGAAUUUGGAGGAGUAAUGUUAAAGGCAAUUUGCACGGUGCGCCACAAAACUAUCGCCAACGGGCACUCAAAGAAGAGGUGCUUAAUGGUCUCGUCCCGAUCACAGAAACUACACCUAGUAGAUCCUGUUCGAUUGCGCUUAACCAAGUUGUCCUUUGUUAAAAUGACUUGUUUAUGUAUAAACCACAUAAACACUUUAAUCUUCAAAGGAACUUUUACUUUCCAAACAUGUUUGGAACUAGGAAUGACACUAGAGUUAAUGACAUCGAUAUACAUCGACUUAACCGUAAAUUCUCCAGACCUAGUAAGUUUCCAACACAACUGGUCGGGCUGAUGAGCUAGCUGAACCUCCAUCAGUCUACUCACCAAAUGAAGCCAUGCUUCCCAUCUAUCACCAACAAGCACCCUCCGAAACUGGAUAUUAAGGGGAAUGGACUGCAUAAUCGUUGCAACUAGCGCAUCACGUCGUUGAACAAUACGAUACAGGGACGGGUACUGGAGCGCCAAUGGCGUGUCACCAAGCCAAGUAUCCUCCUAGAAACGGGUAUUGUUGCCAUCACCGACAAUAAACUUUGUUCUAUUAAAGAAGGCUGCCUUAACUCUCAUAAGCCCCUUCCAAAACGGCGAAUCAGUUGGUCUCACUGUCACCUGUGACAAAGUUUUGGACUGCAGAUACUUGUUACGGAGAAUCUGCGCCCAUGUUGCAUCAGUCUCAACUGAUAACCUAUACAGCCACUUACUAAGAAGGCAUCUGUUCUUGACCUCAAGAUUCUCAAUACCCAGACCCCCUUGGUCCUUUGGUCUACAGAUGAUAUCCCAUUUGGCGAGUCGGUACUUUCUCUUUAGUUCAUCACUCUGCCAAAAAAAUCUUGAUCGGUAGAAGUCCAGCCUUUUCCUAACCCCAACUGGAACUUCAAA